GGGUCCGCACAAGCGGUGGAGCAUGUGGUUUAAUUCGAUGAUACGCGAGGAACCUUACCUAGGCUAUAAUGUGAGUGAUCGGUGCUGAAAGGCACUUUUCCUUCGGGACACGAAACAAGGUGCUGCAUGGUUGUCGUCAGCUCGUGCCGUGAGGUGUCAGGUUAAGUCCUAUAACGAGCGCAACCCCUACCGUUAGUUGCCAGCGUGUAAUGAUGGGAACUCUAACGGGACUGCCGGUGCAAACCGCGAGGAAGGUGGGGAUGACGUCAAAUCAUCACGGCCCUUACGUCCUGGGCUACACACGUGCUACAAUGGUAGGUACAGAGGGAAGCCACCCCGCGAGGGGGAGCGGAUCUAUAAAACCUAUCUCAGUUCGGAUCGGAGUCUGCAACUCGACUCCGUG
rnacentral:rRNA from 1 species